rnacentral:rRNA from 1 species
UACAGAGGGGGCAAGCGUUGUUCGGAAUUACUGGGCGUAAAGGGCGCGUAGGCGGCCUGCUAAGUCGAACGUGAAAUCCCCGAGCUCAACUCGGGAACUGCGUCCGAUACUGGCAGGCUUGAAUCCGGGAGAGGGAUGCGGAAUUCCAGGUGUAGCGGUGAAAUGCGUAGAGAUCGGGAGGAAGGCCGGUGGCGAAGGCGGCGCUCUGGAACGUUUCUGACACUGAGCUCGAAAGCGUGGGGAGCAAACAGG